GAAUUACUUAAAUAAUUUCAAUACACUUAAUAAUGAUUUGGUUAUUUCAAACAUUUUACGAAUCAAUCAAAAUAAAGUUAGCCCGUUGUAAAGGUCGCGCUAUUUGUUUCCGUCCCUUUGUAAAUUGGGCUGGGCCUCAAAUAUGCACAGAUGCAAUUGGAUGAAUUAAGUUGGGCCUAAUCUGUAAAGGUUUAUAUAUUUAGCCUAUGUUUAGAAGCUUUGUUA
rnacentral:misc_RNA from 1 species